AUUGAACGCUGGCGGCAGGCCUAACACAUGCAAGUCGAGCGAGAGGCGCACGCGUGAGCAUUGUGUGUGAUACUGCUUCCUGGAGGGGGAGAACUCCUGGAAACGGUAGCUACUACCGCAUACCCUCUGACGUUCCCCGAUGGGAGUAGCUAGUAGGUGGGGUAACGGCUCACCUGGGCGACGAUCCCUAGCUGGUCUGAGAGGAUGACCCGCCACACUGGAACUGAGACACGGUCCAGACUCCUACGGGAGGCAGCAGUGGGGAAUAUUGCACCAUGGGCGCAAGCCUGAUGCAGCCAUGCCGCGUGUGUGAAGAAGGCCUUCGGGUUGUAAAGCACUUUCAGCGGGGAGGCGUUACCCGCAGAAGAAGCACCGGCUAACUCCGUGCCAGCAGCCGCGGUAAUAC
rnacentral:rRNA from 1 species